GCUCAGUUGGUUAAGCGUCUGACUUCUACUCAGCUCAUGAUCUCAUGGUUUGUGGGUUCAAGCCCCACAUUGGGCU
rnacentral:tRNA from 1 species